rnacentral:misc_RNA from 1 species
UUCAUAUGAUAAUUCGACGAGAGACGCCAACCAAAAGACCUCGAGAUUCCUCUUGCCACGCGAUUCUAGCCUCCAGCACCUUUUUUCUGCCAAACACGUACCUAUGCAUGUAAGAGGGAGUGAGACUGUGACUAAGAGUAUCUGCACGUCUUUCUGACACAGAUAGAGAGCGCUAUGGCGACCCCUCAGAAGCCAUGGAAGGCGGAUUACGCGAAGUAGGGCGAUCAUUAUGCAAGACCUGCAAGAAACCCAUCGACAAAGUGAAUCUCAGCUCGGCAAAAUGGUCCAAGGAGAAUGAAAUUACAAAUAGUCAGGAGGAUUACUUGGUUGA